UGCAGUCGAACGGUGAAGCCCAGCUUGCUGGGUGGAUCAGUGGCGAACGGGUGAGUAACACGUGAGCAACCUGCCCUCCACUUCGGGAUAAGCCUUGGAAACGGGGUCUAAUACCGGAUAUGAGCUCGCAUCGCAUGGUGUGGGUUGGAAAGUUUUUCGGUGGGGGAUGGGCUCGCGGCCUAUCAGCUUGUUGGUGGGGUGAUGGCCUACCAAGGCGUCGACGGGUAGCCGGCCUGAGAGGGCGACCGGCCACACUGGGACUGAGACACGGCCCAGACUCCUACGGGAGGCAGCAGUGGGGAAUAUUGCACAAUGGGCGCAAGCCUGAUGCAGCGACGCCGCGUGAGGGAUGACGGCCUUCGGGUUGUAAACCUCUUUCAGCAGGGAAGAAGCGCAAGUGACGGUACCUGCAGAAGAAGCGCCGGCUAACUACGUGCCAGCAGCCGCGGUAAUACGUAGGGCGCAAGCGUUGUCCGGAAUUAUUGGGCGUAAAGAGCUCGUAGGCGGUCUGUCGCGUCUGGUGUGAAAUCCCGAGGCUCAACCUCGGGCUUGCAUCGGGUACAGGCAGACUAGAGUGCGGUAGGGGAGACUGGAAUUCCUGGUGUAGCGGUGGAAUGCGCAGAUAUCAGGAGGAACACCGAUGGCGAAGGCAGGUCUCUGGGCCGCAACUGACGCUGAGGAGCGAAAGCAUGGGGAGCGAACAGGAUUAGAUACCCUGGUAGUCCAUGCCGUAAACGUUGGGCACUAGGUGUGGGGCUCAUUCCACGAGUUCCGUGCCGCAGCUAACGCAUUAAGUGCCCCGCCUGGGGAGUACGGCCGCAAGGCUAAAACUCAAAGGAAUUGACGGGGGCCCGCACAAGCGGCGGAGCAUGCGGAUUAAUUCGAUGCAACGCGAAGAACCUUACCAAGGCUUGACAUGUACGAGAAAGCCCCCGAGACGGGGUUCUCUUUGGACACUCGUACACAGGUGGUGCAUGGUUGUCGUCAGCUCGUGUCGUGAGAUGUUGGGUUAAGUCCCGCAACGAGCGCAACCCUCGUCCUAUGUUGCCAGCGGGUUAUGCCGGGGACUCAUGGGAGACUGCCGGGGUCAACUCGGAGGAAGGUGGGGAUGACGUCAAAUCAUCAUGCCCCUUAUGUCUUGGGCUUCACGCAUGCUACAAUGGCCGGUACAGAGGGCUGCGAUACCGUAAGGUGGAGCGAAUCCCAAAAAGCCGGUCUCAGUUCGGAUUGGGGUCUGCAACUCGACCCCAUGAAGUCGGA
rnacentral:rRNA from 1 species